rnacentral:rRNA from 1 species
UAGCGAUUGGAAAUGCUAGUCUAAGCGUUUAGGGAGUUACGGUAGGCAAAUCCGCUGUAACAAUUCUGAGGCGUGAUGGGGAAGGCCCUUGAGGCUGAAGUACAUGAUUCCAUGCUUCCAAGAAAAGCAUCUAGAGAGAGAAGUAGUGCCCGUACCGCAAACCGACACAGGUAGAUGAGGAGAGAAUCCUAAGGCCGGCGGAAGAAUUGCAGUUAAGGAACUAGGCAAAUUGACCCCGUAAGUUCGCGAGAAGGGGUGCCUGCGAGAGCAGGCCGCAGAGAAUAGGCCCAAGCAACUGUUUAGCAAAAACACAGGUCUCUGCUAAAGCGUAAGCUGAUGUAUAGGGGCUGACGCCUGCCCGGUGCUGGAAGGUUAAGGGGAACACUUAGCGCAAGCGAAGGUGUGAACUUAAGCCCCAGUAAACGGCGGCCGUAACGAUAACGGUCCUAAGGUAGCGAAAUUCCUUGUCAGGUAAGUUCUGACCCGCACGAAUGGCGUAAUGACUUGGGCACUGUCUCAACUGCAAAUCCGGCGAAGUUGUAGUGCGAGUGAAGAUGCUCGCUACCCGCGAUUGGACGGAAAGACCCCGUAGAGCUUUACUGCAGCUUAGCAUUGAAUUCCGGUAUUGUCUGUACAGGAUAGGUGGGAGACUGGGAAACUAGGGCGUCAGCCUUGGUGGAGUCAACCUUGGGAUACCACCCUGACAGUACUGGGGUUCUAACAGGACGCCAUGAAACUGGUGACUGGACAUUGUUAGGUGGGCAGUUUGACUGGGGCGGUCGCCUCCUAAAAAGUAACGGAGGCGCCCAAAGGUUCCCUCAGAACGGUCGGAAAUCGUUCGUAGAGUGCAAAGGCAGAAGGGAGCCUGACUGCGAGACCUACAAGUCGAGCAGGGACGAAAGUCGGGCUUAGUGAUCCGGUGGUACCUCGUGGGAGGGCCAUCGCUCAACGGAUAAAAGCUACCUCGGGGAUAACAGGCUGAUCUCCCCCAAGAGUCCACAUCGACGGGGAGGUUUGGCACCUCGAUGUCGGCUCGUCGCAUCCUGGGGCUGUAGUAGGUCCCAAGGGUUGGGCUGUUCGCCCAUUAAAGCGGCACGCGAGCUGGGUUCAGAACGUCGUGAGACAGUUCGGUCCCUAUCCGUCGCGGGCGUAGGAAAUUUGAGAGGAGCUGUCCUUAGUACGAGAGGACCGGGAUGGACUGACCUCUGGUGCACCAGUUGUUCCGCCAGGAGCAUGGCUGGGUAGCUAAGUCGGGAAGGGAUAAACGCUGAAAGCAUCUAAGCGUGAAGCCUCCCUCAAGAUGAGAUUUCCCAUAGCAUAAGCUAGUAAGACCCCUUGAAGAACACAAGGUUGAUAGGUCAGAGGUGUAAGUGUGGUAACAUAUUUAGCUGACUGAUACUAAUAGGUCGAGGGCUUGACCG